CAGCAGUGGGGAAUAUUGCACAAUGGGGGAAACCCUGAUGCAGCAACGCCGCGUGAGUGAAGAAGUAUUUCGGUAUGUAAAGCUCUAUCAGCAGGGAAGAUAAUGACGGUACCUGACUAAGAAGCUCCGGCUAAAUACGUGCCAGCAGCCGCGGUAAUACGUAUGGAGCAAGCGUUAUCCGGAUUUACUGGGUGUAAAGGGUGCGUAGGUGGCAGUGCAAGUCAGAUGUGAAAGGCCGGGGCUCAACCCCGGAGCUGCAUUUGAAACUGCUCGGCUAGAGUACAGGAGAGGCAGGCGGAAUUCCUAGUGUAGCGGUGAAAUGCGUAGAUAUUAGGAGGAACACCAGUGGCGAAGGCGGCCUGCUGGACUGUUACUGACACUGAGGCACGAAAGCGUGGGGAGCAAACAGGAUUAGA
rnacentral:rRNA from 1 species